rnacentral:rRNA from 1 species
UACGGGGGGGGCAAGCGUUGUUCGGAAUUACUGGGCGUAAAGGGCGCGUAGGCGGCCUUCUAAGUCGGACGUGAAAUCCCUCGGCUUAACCGAGGAACUGCGUCCGAUACUGAAAGGCUUGAAUCCGGGAGAGGGAUGUGGAAUUCCAGGUGUAGCGGUGAAAUGCGUAGAUAUCAGGAAGAACACCCGUGGCGAAAGCGGCUCUCUGGGACGGUACUGACGCUGAGACGCGAAAGCGUGGGGAGCGAACAGG